rnacentral:lncRNA from 1 species
CUUUCUCUAUUUUUUCAACCAUUUAUUUUAUGUUUUGGUGCUUGAUUUGAAUUUUCUCUUUAAUUUCUUUUUUUAGUCAAUUUCGAAAUCUUUUUUUGAUUAAUUUUUGUACAACUUGAUGUUUGAGCUUGAGUUGUUGAUUUGGUUGAUCAAUGCUUGUACAUUUCAACUCAUCCAUAUAUAGACUUCUAGGUUAAUUCAAUCUUCUCUAAUUCAAUAUGUUGAUAUAUGAUCAUUUGAUCAUAUUUUUGGCACUUUGAGUUAGUGAUAGAUCAUCUCUGAACUGUGUCAUAUGUUUGGGUCCCUUGACUUGUUUCAUAGUGGAUCAUAAGUCAAACACUUGAGCUUGAUUUCACCUUACCUCUUGUUCUUUU